AACGAACGCUGGCGGCGUGCCUAACACAUGCAAGUCGAGCGGGAAAGUUCCCUUCGGGGAGCGAGUACAGCGGCGCACGGGUGAGUAACACGUAGGUAACCUACCCUGGAGACCGGGAUAACCUGCCGAAAGGCGGGCUAAUACCGGAUAAGACCACGAGGGCUGUGGCCCUUGCGGAAAAAGAUGGCCUCUGCUUGCAAGCUAUCACUCUGGGAUGGGCCUGCGCGCCAUUAGCAGUUGGUGAGGUAACGGCUCACCAAGGCCGAGAUGGCUAGCUGGUCUGAGAGGAUGGCCAGCCACACGUGGGACUGAGACGACGGCCCAGACUCCUACGGGAGGCAGCAGGUGGGAAUAUUGCGCAAGUGGGCGAAAGCCUGACGCAGCGACGCCGCGUGGGUGA
rnacentral:rRNA from 1 species